GUUUAAUUUAUUAAACAUGGCAACUUGCUGCAGUGUUUUAAAUAUUUUUACCAUUCAAUUUUUUGACAUAAAAUUUGUAUUUUUCUCUGGCAAAACUCCGGGGAAGUACUCAUUAUUUUGUGGGAUUUUUUACAUACAAAAGUAAACUAUUUAUAUCCUUUGAAACCGGCUCCUAUACAAUCUGGUUCAAUAAUAGGAUUCUCUUGUGAGGACUAUAAAUGUU
rnacentral:misc_RNA from 1 species